rnacentral:rRNA from 1 species
GGACUACUGGGGUUUCUAAUCCCGUUCGCUCCCCUGGCUUUCGCGUCUCAGCGUCAGAUAACGUCCAGGACCUCGCUUUCGCCACGGGCGUUCCUUCCGAUCUCAACGCAUUUCACCGCUCCACCGGAAGUUCCAGGUCCCCCUACGUUCCUCGAGGACGGUCGUAUCCGCGCCCGUUCCCCGGUUGAGCCGGGGGAUUUCAGCGACGGACGUGCCGUCCCGCCUACACGCGCUUUAAGCCCAGUGAUUCCGAAUAACGUUCGCACGGUUCGUCUUACCGCGGCUGCUGGCAC